rnacentral:rRNA from 1 species
GGCGUAGGGCGCGAGCGUUGUCCGGAUUUAUUGGGCGUAAAGAGCUUGUAGGCGGUUUGUCGCGUCUGCCGUGAAAAUCCGGGGCUCAACCCCGGACUUGCGGUGGGUACGGGCAGACUAGAGUGUGGUAGGGGAGACUGGAAUUCCUGGUGUAGCGGUGAAAUGCGCAGAUAUCAGGAGGAACACCGAUGGCGAAGGCAGGUCUCUGGGCCACUACUGACGCUGAGAAGCGAAAGCGUGGGGAGCGAACAGG